GACGAACGCUGGCGGCGUGCUUAACACAUGCAAGUCGAACGGAAAGGCCCUGCUUUUGUGGGGUGCUCGAGUGGCGAACGGGUGAGUAACACGUGAGUAACCUGCCCUUGACUUUGGGAUAACUUCAGGAAACUGGGGCUAAUACCGGAUAGGAGCUCCUGCUGCAUGGUGGGGGUUGGAAAGUUUCGGCGGUUGGGGAUGGACUCGCGGCUUAUCAGCUUGUUGGUGGGGUAGUGGCUUACCAAGGCUUUGACGGGUAGCCGGCCUGAGAGGGUGACCGGCCACAUUGGGACUGAGGGACGGCCCAGACUCCUACGGGACGCAGCAGUGGGGAAUAUUGCAGAAUGGGCGGAAGCCUGAUGCAGCGACGCCGCGUGCGGGAUGACGGCCUUCGGGUUGUAAACCGCUUUCGCCUGUGACGAAGCGUGAGUGACGGUAAUGGGUAAAGAAGCACCGGCUAACUACGUG
rnacentral:rRNA from 1 species